AGCAGUGUAACAUAGUGGUAAGGUGCAGGGCUCAUAACCAAAAGGUUGCUGGUUCAAUUCCCCACUGGGCCACUGCAG
rnacentral:tRNA from 1 species